rnacentral:rRNA from 1 species
UACGUAGGGGGCAAGCGUUGUCCGGAUUUACUGGGCGUAAAGAGCGUGUAGGCGGCCAAACAGGUCCGUUGUGAAAACUGGAGGCUUAACCUCCAGACGUCGACGGAAACCGUAUGGCUAGAGUCCGGAAGAGGAGAGUGGAAUUCCUGGUGUAGCGGUGAAAUGCGCAGAUAUCAGGAAGAACACCAAUGGCGAAGGCAGCGCUCUGGGACGGUACUGACGCUGAGACGCGAAAGCGUGGGGAGCGAACAGG